GGCAGAGAAGUGCAGCUCAGAAUGGGUGUCUCACGCAGACUGUAAAUCUGCCGGCUCAGCCUUCCCAGGUUCGAAUCCUGGCGCCGCCA
rnacentral:tRNA from 1 species